rnacentral:lncRNA from 1 species
AUACCACUUUAAUUUCUCUCCCUCUUUCUCAUUCUUUAUUCAUUACCUUUCUAUUGUCUUUUAAUGCCCCACCCUAACCUUAUGAUCUCCAUUCGUCCAUUUUUUACAUUUAAUUAUUACAUCAAUUUAUUUUUUAUAUCAUAAUCAAUCUAAAUCAAUAAAAAAUUAUAUAUUCUUCAUGUCUAUCUUCUCAAUCUGAAUUAAAUGUCUCUUUUAGAUUCUUUUUCUUGUAAUAUUCUUUUAAU